UUAAAUUAAAAGUCUAUCAAAUUUACCAAAUAUAGUAUAAAUUGCCACGAUUAACAGUUAAACCUUUAGGAUAGUAGCUUUUGUUUAGUAUCAUUGGGUUCAACAUGAUGGCUAUCAUAAUAUUGUUUUGAGAAAUAUAUAUAUAUGGGAGAGUUGGAUUCACAAAAAAAUUUUUUUAAAAUCGUUAACUCACAAAAAAAGGUUGUUUUAAUUUUUAAAAUAGUUUAAGUACGCUCCCUAGAGUUAAUUUUUUGAAAAUUGAUUCAUUUCAGUUUUAUUUUUUUUGACUAUCAAGUUCCAGAGAAAAUCACAAUUUUUUAUUUUGAAUUUCCCAAGAUCAAGUUUUACUAAAUGUUCACUCCCCAAAGAAAUAAAAAAUGGGUGAUUAUUAAUCAUGAUCUCUAUAAUNAUAUAUAUAUAUAUAUAUAUAUAUAUAUAUAUAUAUAUAUUGAGAGAGAGAGAGAGAGAACUAGGCUGGAAUACUAUUAAUAGCAUAAAUGACAUGGUGCUAUUAAGUUUUCCGCCCUUGGAUUAAAAAAUGUACGGUUAUGAUGAUGUGGGCCCCCAAGGGUUGAGUUGGUGGUUGGUUGAAUAGUUAUAAUCUAAUGGGUAAAAAUAAUCAAAGGGAUUAAUCUAACGGCAAAAAAUUUGAUAACAGCAACUACUUCCAAGUUGGUAUGCUUAUGGAAGCACGGAGCCCUCCGUGCUUAUGGAAGUAUGGAGCCCUCCGUUAGAGUUGAUCUAGAGUAUUUGAAGUACCUAGAAAAUAAAUUUUGCGAUUUUUCGAUAUCAUUUGCCUAGUGAUCGAAGGGGCUCAAAAUCAAUAAUUUUAACGGCCCUGGUGAGCCGAUUGCAAGUUUAACGGUGUAGAAAUAUUCAAAUCACAUGAAAUUUUGAUAGAAAAUUCUUUAUACCAUAUAAAACAAGAUCAAUAACUUUGAUCUAAAAUUUUAGUGUCAUAUCAUUAUAUUUUCAGCCGUUGAUUUUGAGCCACUUCGAUCACUAGGCAAACGAUAUCGAAAAAUCGCAAAAUUUAUUUUCUAGAUACUUCAAAUACUCUAGAUCAGGUCUAACGGAGCCGAUCGUCGAUUCGAAAGUCCGAACAUCAAAAACAAAGUGGAAGCACGGAGCCCUUCGUGCUUCCAUAAGCGUCCUAGCCGCACUCUAUAUAUAUAUAUAUAUAUAUAGAGUCCGUCUACUGUACUUUCGAAAGUACCGGGACCUCCGUACUUGUAAGUUAUUUUCGAUAAUAGGACAUCCGAUUCGAUGAUCGGCUCCGUUAGGUAUAAUCUACCCUAUUGGAACUAUCUGGAAACCAAAUUUUAUAAUUUUUUGACAUCAUUUACUAAGCGAUCAAAAGGUCCCAAAAAUGACUAUUUUAACGGCCGAUGCGGCACGUUUUUAAGUUCAACAGUGUAGAAAUAUCCAAAUUACAUGAAAAUUUAAAAGAAAAUUCUACUUAACGUCAAUAGCAAGAUCAAUACUUCCGAUUUGAAAUUUGAGUCAUUUAUCAUUGUUCUUUAUGAGAUUUUUAUUUUCAGCCGUUUAUUUUAAAGCUACUCAUUCACUAGAUAAACGAAGUCAAAAAUUAUAAAAUUUGGUUUCUAGAUAGUUCCAAUAGCGUAAAUCAUGUCUAACAGAAUCGAUCGCCGAAUCGAAUGUCCCAUCAUCGAAAACAACUUACAAGUAGGGAGGCCCCCGUACUUUCAAAAGCAUAGGAGUCUGGCUCUCUCUCUCUCUCUCUCUCUCUCUCUCUAUAUAUAUAUAUAUAUAUAUAGCACUUAAAUAUAAGUAGUAACUCCCAAGUAUAUUGAAGAGAGAUUAAAUACCUCCUGUCUCCUUAAAACUUGGGUUCUGUUUGGUCUUUAUGGUCCCAAUUAUUUUCAUUGCAGAAUCUUUAUCAAAGGAGAUGCAAAAAUGGUGAAAAGGGACACAUUUUUAGUCUUAGUUUAAGUUAUAUUAUGCAUGAGAAAUUUCAAAUUAGGCUAUUAUAUUAUUAAUAGUACCAAGCGCGUAUUAUUAGAAUUUCAGUACUUGGAUAAAAAAAUGUGCAGUUAGGAUGAUAAUGAUCCUCAGUUAGUAUUAUAGCGAUUCCUUUAGAGUUGAGUGGUGGUUGGUUGAAUAAAAUGAGUUAACAGAUAAAAAUAAUCGAUGAGAUAGAUUUAACAGCAGAAAACUCGAUAUCACCAACCAUUUAAUACUAUCGAUAAUGCAGUAGCCAGACUCGAAAAAUAUAUUUAUUUUAUACCGAUAGAAAGGUAAGAAAAAGGCAAAUAGUGUCCUGGUAUAAGGAGCUUCCAUAAAAUUAAUCUAACACAUCUUACUCUGCCGCUGCAAGAGUAGAAGUUUCCGAUUAGAGACCGUCUCUGAAAGCCAAAAAAGCUCAUCACUUGUUGCUGUGACAACAAUUUGGAGAUUUAUUUUUUUUGCUUCUAUUUUGGUUGUUUGAGUUUCAAUUUACAUUGUAUUUAUGACCACAAACAAAAUAAAAAAUUCUGUUUGGUUUAUUAUAAUUGUAUCUAGAUGGAGGGUGUAAGAUCAUGGCCCCCUUUUAGGGUGUAAAAGCAGGAUUUCCCAAUAAUAAAAUCCACAAAUGAAAUUUCCCAAUAAUAGUGUUUUCUUUUUUUGCUAUCAGCCAUUAAUAAUUAUCAAAAUGCACAACUAUAUAGUCAUUAAAUUUAAUAAAACCACUAUUAGUUUCACCAAAUCCAGUUACAAGAAUAAAACACUUGGGGGCUAUAAAUCAAAAAGAGAAUACUUGAGGGACCUAUUUCAUAAUGGCUUACAGUAGAGCAGUUGCUGGUAAAUUUCUACCAACAGUUUCAUUGGAAGAAGAAACAUUACCUGAUAACCUCCAAACCACACAAUUAAGAACUCUGUUUUUUACUUCAUGCAAGAAAUAUACCAAUUCAUUUUAAAAUCGUUUGGUUCGGAUAUAAGUAAAAACUAGCUAUUACGGAGAUAGAUACAAGUACGGGAAUAAGAAAAAUAGCAUUUGGAUAAAAAUUAAGUUGUUCCUGGAGAUAAGAAAAAUAACGUUUGAAUACAUAAUAUGAAAUAAGAAAAAUAAUGGAUAGUUAUAUAUAGAAAAUGAAGGUUGGUUGGGAUAGUUAUACCAACUUAUUUUAGAUACUCGAGAACUACUAUUCUCGGAUAAAAAAUUAGCGUUUGGAUAUAAAGGAGGUCCCAAUCCAAACGGGUUAACCACCAGAGAUAAUACCAAGCAAAUUAGUCACUCUGAGAUUUUUAUGUGAAAAUAUCCAAGCACAUUGUAUAAACAACACCAUCUUUAAUUUCGCAUGCCACUCUAGUAGAGCUGUUUCAAGAAGCACUAAUAUUUAAAUAUUUUUUAUUAAAGUUUAGCAGUUGGUUUCUAGUUCUGGAACUAGAGAUCUAAUCUAAAUACACAAGAUUCCACUAGAAGAAGCAACCACCAAAGUUAGAGGACUUUUCUAUAUCCUAAACAUUACAAGAUAACUCAAAGCACUUGCAUAAUAAUAAUAAGCCAUUAAAAGGAAAUGAAUCAACUAAAACAACAUCCUAUUGUGCUGUUUAACCUUUUGAUCUUAUUCAGGUCUAUCCAAGAACAAAUUAGUCAGUAGUUUUGCAUAUUUAUAUAUAUAUAUAUAUAUAAAAAGGCCCCCCCUUGCCCAAAAAUUCAAUACCACAAAUUACACCAAGAACACAAUUCAAAACCCCAAUAGAGAGUGAGAGAACAAGGAAGAUGAUGAUUUGGAUGGGAAAUUCACCAAAUUGCGAAUUAGGUACUAACUAACUAACUAGCUCUUCAAAGCGUAAACCAAGAGAGAGAACCCCUCACCUCGCUGCAUCUCCACCUCCUCGGCGCUGGCCCAAUCCAUGACCGUCGAUCCGCUGAUCGUCGACGCGGUCGACGAUGCCGUCGACGACGAGGAGCUCGUCUUCAACAAGCUCUUCUUCUUCCUCCUGCUUCUCCUCCUCUCGCCGCCGCAGCUACUGCUCUCGCUCCAAUUCCGCCUACUAAGCUUCCCCAGGUACUCCCCCACGACUCCCCCGUAGCCCCCGAAGCUGCUCCCCCUCUUCUUCCCCAGCGCCGAACCCUCGCUCUCGCACUUCGUUUUGGGGUCCCCUUGGGUGGAUUCCCUCUCGAAGCGGAACACGAACACGGCGCGCGGCGGAACGGCGCCGCCCGGCGGGGGGAGAUGCGGCGCGGUCGCGUCGCGCCAGGCCUGACGAGCGCCCCGGGGCGGGAAGAGCCAGCUGUGGAGGUCCCAAGAGAUCUGGAUGGGAGAGGAGUCGACGUCGACGGUGUCGCUGCCGCGGAACUUCCAGCGGAGGCGGCGGACGUGGAGGACGCGGGAGCCGUCGACGGCGAUCGACAUCGCCAUGUCCUCCCCCUUGCCCUUGCCCUUGCCCUUCCUCUCCUUCUCCUUCUCCUUCUCCUUCUCCUUCUCCUUCUCCUUCUCCUUCGACGUGAGGGUGAUGGUGAUCUCCCUCUCCUUGCCCCCGAACAGCGCCGAGGUCGCGUACGACCGCACCCCGCUACGCGCGUCCCGCCGCAUCGCCACGUGCUCCCGCCGCGAGAUCAGGAGCGCCUCCCCGCGCGGGGCCGAUCGCGCCGCCGCCCUCUUGUAGGCCUCGCCGCGGAGGUCGCCGGCGACGAGGGCGGCCUCGCCGUCCACGGCGACGGCGACGAAGUACCCUCCGGCAGGCUCCGGGGCCCCGCCCGGGGGGAACCGCGCGCGCGUGAGGUCCCACGCGAGCUCCACCGUCUGCGGGCCGCCGCCGCCGCGGCGAUCGCCGAGGUGGAAGCGCUUUGAGCCGCGGCGCUUCCAGAAGAGCCAGGGGCGGAUCCGGAAGGCGAGGGGCUCCUCCUCGUCGUCGCCGUCGCCAUCGUCGCGGAGGCGGAGCUCGGCGAGCAGGCAGAGGCCGAGGGCGGUGCGGGACCAGGAGAGGGAGACCAAGCCGAGGCGCGUCUCGUAGACGGAGGUGGAUCAGCUCCGGCAUCGUCUUCUCGCUCCUCCUGGCUUCCUAAUUCUAUACAGAGUUCGAUCGACAAAGCUAGGGUUUCGCAAAUCCCAAGCACAGGUUAGAGAGAGAGAGAGAGAGAGAGAGAGAGAGAGAGAUGUUUUUUUUUCCGAAGGAAAAUUCGAAGCAUAGAGAGAGAAAGAGAGAGGGGGUGGGAAUAAAUACGGAUGUUGGAAGGAGCGUGUGGUGUUCACCACGCACCGGGUGGUGACGGUAAACAAGGCAAGACCGUAGAACGAGCUGGGCCCCACUGAUCUCCCAGUGGACCCGCCAAAGUAUUUCCUAGACCCGGUUCACCACGUCAGCUAAUAAGUAGUACAUUAUAAAGUUGGUGUUGUUUUAAGUUAGAGCAAUAUCUUCAGUCAGACCCAAAAGAUAUAAAUCUUACACUCUAUAAUCUAAGAUUUAUUAUUGUAUUUAUAUUUUACCAUUUUAUUUAUACUAUUUAAGCUUUGUUUGGGAUUGCAUAAAAAUUAUGUUACGUACGGUGAGAAAGUAUAAUUAGAAAAUACUAUGUUUGUUUUUGUAUAUAAUAUUGCAUUCCGUAUAUUGCGAUGAGUCGGCUACGAUAUAUUUUCUACAGUCCCACUGGAGAAUAUAGAAAUAUAUCUCUAUAUACUUUUACUCAAACUCUAUUUUAUCUAAAUAGCGUCAAAUAGAUCUGAAUACCAAACUAAGUCUUAAAAUCUUAAAAGAUUUCUAAAUUUUAGAACGUGGGGCCUAAAAUGUAGACUUUCUUUUUUCUGAAAAUAUAUAGUUAUCAUUUUUUUUAGAGUUAGGUCUAGUUUGAAAUUGCGGUAUUCAGAUCUAUUUGACGCUAUUUAGAUAAAAUAGAGUUUGAGUAAAAUAGAUCUGAAUACCAAACUAAGUCUUAAAAUCUUAAAAGAUUUCUAAAUUUUAGAACGUGGGGCCUAAAAUGUAGACUUUCUUUUUUCUGAAAAUAUAUAGUUAUCAUUUUUUUUAGAGUUAGGUCUAGUUUGAAAUUGCGGUAUUCAAAACAUUCACUUUUAUACUUUACAAGGCUCGACAAAUUAAAAAAUCUACAAUUUUUCUCCUUAGUUACAUUUUGGUGGUAGAGAGAAAAAAUAUGAAAAAUGCUUUCGAAUUGUUUGAGUAUUUUAGACACUAUUAUUAGUAAAAAUUAAAAAUAUAAGUGCAGCCAAAUAUACCAUAAGUAUAAAUCAUCAUUACAUGCAAUUUAUAACUUAACAAUAAUCUACUUUUGAGAGGCAUAUGUUACAAAAUAUAAUGUCAAAUGAUGAAAUAUUUUUUUCAAAGUCAAAAGUGUUAGUGAAUUUAGCGGCAACCGUCAUUGUAAUUUAUAUUAUUGGAAAAUAUAAAUUAUUGGAAAAGAAAAGAUCGUAAAUACUCUUGAAUUU
rnacentral:lncRNA from 1 species